rnacentral:rRNA from 1 species
GAAUCCCGGUGACAAACGAAUAAUCGUUCUUCCUUCGGGACACCGGUGACAGGUGGUGCAUGGUUGUCGUCAGCUCGUGUCGUGAGAUGUUGGGUUAAGUCCCGCAACGAGCGCAACCCUUGAUCCUUAGUAGCCAGCAGUUCGGCUGGGCACUCUAGGGAGACUGCCGGAGAUAAUCCGGAGGAAGGUGGGGAUGACGUCAAAUCAUCAUGCCCCUUAUGAUUUGGGCUACACACGUGCUACAAUGGCGUAAACAAAGGGAAGCAGAGUCGUGAGGCCGAGCAAAUCCCAAAAAUAACGUCUCAGUUCGGAUUGUAGUCUGCAACUCGACUACAUGAAGCUGGAAUCGCUAGUAAUCGCGAAUCAAAUGUCGCGGUGAAUACGUUCCCGGGUCUUGUACACCCCG